rnacentral:rRNA from 1 species
UACGAAGGGGGCUAGCGUUGCUCGGAAUCACUGGGCGUAAAGCGCACGUAGGCGGAUCUUUAAGUCAGGGGUGAAAUCCUGGAGCUCAACUCCAGAACUGCCUUUGAUACUGGGGAUCUCGAGUCCGGAAGAGGUGAGUGGAACUCCGAGUGUAGAGGUGAAAUUCGUAGAUAUUCGCAAGAACACCGGUGGCGAAGGCGGCCAACUGGUCCGGCAUUGACGCUGGGGUGCGAAAGCGUGGGGAGCAAACAGG